UACGAAGGUGGCAAGCUUUUUUCGGAUUCACUGGGCGUACAGGGUGUGUAGGCGGUUUGGUAAGCCUUCUUUUCCCUCUUCGGGCCCAACCCGGAAAGCGCAGAGGGUACUGCCCGGCUAGAGGGUGGGAGAGGAGCGCGGAAUUCCCUGUGUAGCGGUGAAAUGCGUAGAGAUCGGGAGGAAGGCCGGUGGCGAAGGCGGCGCUCUGGAACAUACCUGACGCUGAGACACGAAAGCGUGGGGAGCAAACAGGAUUAGAUAACCUGGUAGUCCACGCCCUAAACUAUGGAUACUAAGUGUCGGCGGGUUACCGCCGGUGCCGCAGCUAACGCAUUAAGUGUCCCGCCUGGGAAGUACGGCCGCAAGGUUGAAACUUAAAUGAAGGGACGG
rnacentral:rRNA from 1 species